GAUGAACGCUAGCGGCAGGCUUAAUACAUGCAAGUCGAGGGGCAGCACAGAUAGCAAUAUUGGGUGGCGACCGGCAAACGGGUGCGGAACACGUACACAACCUUCCUUUUAGUGUGGGAUAGCCCAGAGAAAUUUGGAUUAAUACCACAUAGUAUAUUGGAGUGGCAUCACUUUGAUAUUAAAGAUUUAUCGCUAAAAGAUGGGUGUGCGUAUGAUUAGGUAGCUGGUAGAGGUAACGGCUCACCAAGCCUUCGAUCAUUAACUGGUGUGAGAGCACGACCAGUCACACGGGCACUGAGACACGGGCCCGACUCCUACGGGAGGUAGCAGUGGGGAAUAUUGGACAAUGGGGGGAACCCUGAUCCAGCCAUGCCGCGUGUGUGAAGAAGGCCUUAUGGUUGUAAAGCACUUUAAGCGAGGAGGAGGCUACCGAGAUUAAUACUCUUGGAUAGUGGACGUUACUCGCAGAAUAAGCACCGGCUAACUCUGUGCCAGCCGCCGCGGUAA
rnacentral:rRNA from 1 species